ensembl:snoRNA
GGUCCCCAAUGAUGUCAGCACUGGGCUCCGAACUUUGUGAUGAAAUCGGUGCCUCCCAGGGCCUUGACACCCUGGGGACUGAGGGGGCU